rnacentral:lncRNA from 1 species
CAUCGAUGCGGAGUCAUGGUCGGAGCCAAAGCCAAAUACAUGAACGGGCACGUGAUGCGCACUUCCGUCUCGAAUGGAGGACGGCACAAGUGAUCUGUAGUCUGGUUCCGUCGCUUGUCCGUUACGAAUGGUGGGAGUAAAGAUGUAGGUGUCCUGCCCAUCGGAGAGGAGAAUGAUGCUGCAGACGGGAUUCUUCUCCUUGCGAUCUUCAAUCACUUUGGCACCCUUCCUGAGUCCCUCUGCUAUAUUUGUUCCGCCACUUGUUGUCAGCAAAUUGACCGCCUGCAAGGCCUCCUGGCGGCCAGACUCCGACAUCCGGCGGAGAGGAAACAGCCUUCGUGCUGUAGAGGAGAAAGUGAUCACUGAAAGACGGUCCGACGGACCGAGGUUUUGGAUCACAAACCCCAUAGCCUGCUUCAGAAGUGCAAGCUUCGUGCCCGACAUGCUACCACUGACAUCAAGCACCGUGACCAGGUCAACUGGAGCUCGAUAGCUUCUGGGAACUUGGGCAUCUCCAUGGACAUCUUUGCCGGGAUUCUGUGUUCUGGGAACAAGAGGUGCCUUGAGAUGAAUCAGAACGGUAAAGUUCUCCGUAGAAGCUGACUGCGAAAUGGCUGGAUACUCCGGGUAUGUGCUUAUCUCCACCAUCUUGGCACAUCCAUGCGGGGGAACUCCAGAAACCUUGGAUGGGGAGCCCAGCGACUC